ACACGGUUGACAGUGUCAUUUUCCUAUUGCUGAUAAAAGUUUAUUAAUUGCUAAUAUCGUAAGUUAAUUCUUUCUUUUGAGAGGCGUUGACGCGUAAGAAGUGCUAGCGCUUUUACUUGUAACUUGCGUCCUAUCAUUGGUACUCUCAAUCUCUUUUGGUUAUUUGAUCAACUGCAACGGGAAUUGCCAGGGGAUUAACUAACAAGAUGUUCACAGUAUCGACGACGAAAUUUAUUCUCCUCACCCUUGUUGGCUUCCUUAUGAUUGAGACGUUCUCAGACGCCCUGAGUCUGGGAAACAUCAAAGAGGGGAGAGCUGUUGAACGUGUGAAGCGUUUCAAUUACAACUUAUUGGCGUGUAAGUGUCCUAAUGGAUGGAAACCACGGUGUGCCUCAGACGAGGGCUGCCAGCAGCGCCACGGCAGCCAAUACAAGUGCCGCUUCGUCUGUUGUGGAGCGCGUUGCGUGCUAGGGGAAUAAGCUCAGUCAAGACACAUUGACGCACAUUGACGCAAGAAGUACUGCUUGCUUUCAAAUAUGCAACCAUUCCUCGGCGAACUGAAAUAGACGUUUUUUAUUUGAGACACUGAUGCUACUUGUAGAGCAUAAGACAUUUUAAUCCUUGUUUUUCAAUCAUGUUAAAUUUUACAGAGACGGACAUGGAAAGAGAAAUCAAUGACUUGAAAACUAAGCAAAGAACAGACUUUUUAUUCAAAGUUUGGCACGAUUCACUUUAACUUCGUGACAAUAGAAACUGCCAGAAUGACAGAUAUUUUAGAAAUAAAAAUUAAAAUAAAAUGAAUACUGAAAAUAAAUCGUUGAAAAUUUGUCUUUAAAUAGGACAAGACGUAACUGUUCUGAAUGAUCUGUUCCACGUUAUCCUACAAACCGUAAAAUCGAAGUUGGGUAUGAGUACAUGUACGCAAUACUUAUCCACUAUACAUCCAAUGCUGAUUCAAAAUGGUACUUAAAUUAAACAGCUUCGAGACGUAAA